CCUACGGGAGGCUGCAGUGGGGAAUAUUGGACAAUGGGGGCAACCCUGAUCCAGCCAUGCCGCGUGUGUGAAGAAGGCCCUCGGGUUGUAAAGCACUUUCAGUGAGGAAGAACGCCUGGUGGUUAAUACCCAUCAGGAAAGACAUCACUCACAGAAGAAGCACCGGCUAACUCCGUGCCAGCAGCCGCGGUAAUACGGAGGGUGCGAGCGUUAAUCGGAAUUACUGGGCGUAAAGCGCGCGUAGGUGGCUUGAUAAGCCGGUUGUGAAAGCCCCGGGCUCAACCUGGGAACGGCAUCCGGAACUGUCAAGCUAGAGUGCAGGAGAGGAAGGUAGAAUUGCCGGUGUAGCGGUGAAAUGCGUAGAGAUCGGGAGGAAUACCAGUGGCGAAGGCGGCCUUCUGGACUGACACUGACACUGAGGUGCGAAAGCGUGGGUAGCAAACAGGAUUAGAUACCCCGGUAGUC
rnacentral:rRNA from 1 species